rnacentral:lncRNA from 1 species
CCACGUGAUGCCAUUAGGCCAAUACCGACGCGGCGUUGGCCUCGGACAGCGCGUGUGAGGAGGAGGUGGCAUUCUUCAAAGCGUGUCGCUACUUUACGAAGUUUAAGGGGCU